CCCACGAAGGCAAAUAAAACUGAUGUAACAUGCACCGGUAGUUGCAUAAAAUAUCUAAAGUCGGCACAAUCAUAGGUCAAAACAACUAUGGAGGAAUAUAGUUCGGUGCAUCCUCAGGGCAACAGGCCAUUGUCAGCAACACCUGAAAUUGUUAAUUGAGGUUUAGUGCCCAUUUUCAACUCAAACAAUUACAAUUAAAGAGGCCUGUGCAAAUGUUAGGAUUUCCCUCUUGAAUGUGAUGCAAGGGAUGGCUCGCUGCACCUCAAAACACAGUACGAUUAUCGGAAUCAGAUUCAAGGACAACAGCUGAAAGACACCCAAUGCUGUGGUUUACUAGUGUUGACUCCUAUUGACACUCAAGUAGUUCACAUGGACAAAGAUGUAUUAUGAUCAACAAACAUUUGAAGCGUGAUAGAGUUUAAUUAUGCUAAUAAAGUAUUUUUGUAGUCUUUAUAAUGCUAGUAUAUUUUUUUUCAAUUUCAUUAAUUGAACAAUAAAACAAGCAAUGUUU